UGUAGCUUGAUGGUAGAGCGCUUGCCUUGCAUGCACGAUGUCCUGGGUUUGAUUCUCAGCA
rnacentral:tRNA from 1 species